ACACAUGCAAGUCGAGGGGUAUAGUUCUUCGGAACUAGAGACCGGCGCACGGGUGCGUAACGCGUAUGCAAUCUACCUUUCACAGAGGGAUAGCCCAGAGAAAUUUGGAUUAAUACCUCAUAGUAUUAUAGAGUGGCAUCACUUUAUAAUUAAAGUCACAACGGUGAAAGAUGAGCAUGCGUCCCAUUAGCUAGUUGGUAAGGUAACGGCUUACCAAGGCAACGAUGGGUAGGGGUCCUGAGAGGGAGAUCCCCCACACUGGUACUGAGACACGGACCAGACUCCUACGGGAGGCAGCAGUGAGGAAUAUUGGACAAUGGGCGCAAGCCUGAUCCAGCCAUGCCGCGUGCAGGAUGACGGUCCUAUGGAUUGUAAACUGCUUUUGUACAGGAAGAAACACUGGUUCGUGAACCAGCUUGACGGUACUGUAAGAAUAAGGAUCGGCUAACUCCGUGCCAGCAGCCGCGGUAAUACGGAGGAUCCAAGCGUUAUCCGGAAUCAUUGGGUUUAAAGGGUCCGUAGGCGGUUUAGUAAGUCAGUGGUGAAAGCCCAUCGCUCAACGGUGGAACGGCCAUUGAUACUGCUAAACUUGAAUUAUUAGGAAGUAACUAGAAUAUGUAGUGUAGCGGUGAAAUGCUUAGAGAUUACAUGGAAUACCAAUUGCGAAGGCAGGUUACUACUAAUGGAUUGACGCUGAUGGACGAAAGCGUGGGUAGCGAACAGGAUUAGAUACCCUGGUAGUCCACG
rnacentral:rRNA from 1 species